GCCCUUUGGUUGGUUGUGGGGAAGUUGUGUUUAGGUGAAGUCUCUUGCUGGCGCUGUGGAGGAGACUCUUAUGCAUGAGGAAACACCUCAAAUACAGCUUUCUAGAUUGAGUUCUGAAAGAUAUUGGGAGAACAUCUUGGGAAGACAAGAGGCAGACCAGGAUUAAUUUCAACAGUUCAGCUUCUACAUUGGUGCCACAGCUACUGAAUUUGAAUUAGCUCCUGGACCUGCUGGAAUCCAACUUGAUUCCUUUUGCUAUCAGAAGAUAUCAACUGAACGGCAUCUUUCUUCCGAUGUAUGUAAGAGGCCUUCAAAGGUACUGCAGGGGUUAGAGGGCUGCUUGAUGUGGUGCUCUU